GACGAACGCUGGCGGCGUGCUUAACACAUGCAAGUCGAACGGAAAGGCUCCAGCUUGCUGGAGUACUCGAGUGGCGAACGGGUGAGUAACACGUGGGUAAUCUGCCCUGCACUCUGGGAUAAGCCUGGGAAACUGGGUCUAAUACUGGAUAUGACCUUUCUCCUUAUGGGGUUUGGUGGAAAGUUUUUCGGUGUAGGAUGAGCCCGCGGCCUAUCAGCUUGUUGGUGGGGUGAUGGCCUACCAAGGCGACGACGGGUAGCCGGCCUGAGAGGGUGAUCGGCCACAUUGGGACUGAGAUACGGCCAAGACUCCUACGGGAGGCAGCAGUGGGGAAUAUUGCACAAUGGGCGGAAGCCUGAUGCAGCGACGCCGCGUGAGGGAUGACGGCCUUCGGGUUGUAAACCUCUUUCAGCAGGGACGAAGCGUAAGUGACGGUACAUGCAGAAGAAGCACCGGCUAAAUAUGUG
rnacentral:rRNA from 1 species